GUCAUCUAUCUAGGAUAGGUGUGUUGUGUGUAACUGAUUUUGGCUGGAGCAAAAACCUGUCCUUGUCAUUCACGAGAGUACUCCCAUCGAGUAUUGGCACACACACACAGGGCUGUUGGCAUCCCACAAGGUUCUGUGGUUAGCCCAUGCUGAUGUUUUUCUCAUUAAUGGGACGUGUUUGGCCUGCUUAAUUAAGGUGCCGAUUUAUAUGUAUUGCGAUUCUAUGUGUUGCGAUUUGAUACUGUGAUUUUUAUUGCGUUUCGAUGUUCCAAACAUAUUGCUCGCCAUUUGUCUGCUGCAGAGGGACAAGAGAGCCAUGAGAAAAUUAGUUUUGAUCAGUCAUGGAAAUAAAUAUUCAGUCAUGGAAAACCAAUUGGCUCCUUAUUUAAAAAGAAAAUGGACAACAACCUAUAAAGAAUACAUACUGGAGUUUUGGUGUAGGUACAGCCAAAUAGCAUUAUAUUAGUAUAUAUUUUGUGAUAUGUUAGAAUCAUAGAAAUGGAAUGAGUAUGCUAUUCUAAUUCUAUUGUUGGUGUUUGGCAUGACAAUGAAAUGAAAAAGCCAGUAUAGUUGUGACAGGGUAGAAGCCAAUGUGUUUGUCAGUGUUUCCCAGGGGAACCUAAUUACCCAUGUGGUGAGAGUAGGCAACAACACCUCCACCACUCUCACCCUCAACACGGGAGAACCUCAAGGGUGAGUGCUUAGUCUCCUCCUGUACUCACUGUUCAUCCACAACUGCGUGGCCAAGCACGACUCCAACACCACCAUCAAGUUUGCUGACGACACGACGGUGGUAGGCCUAAUCACAGACGGCGAUGAGACAGCCUCCACGGAGGAGGUCAGAGACUUGGCAGGAUAGUGCCAUGACAACAUCCUUCAACGUCAGUAAGACCACUAAGCUGAUAGUGGACUACAGCAGAAAAAGGGGAGAGUACGCCCCCAUCCACAUCGUUGGGGCAGUAGUGGAGUGGGUCCAGAGCUUCAAGUUCCUUGGUGUCCACAUCACUAAGGACUUAACAUGGUCCACACACACCCGCAUAGUCGUGAAGAGGACACGACAGUGACUCUUUCCCCUCAGGAAGCUGAAAAGAUUUGACAUGGGCUCUUCAAUCCUCCAGAAGUUCUACACCAUUGAGAGCAUCUUGACUAGAUGUACCACCACUUGAUAUGGCAAAUGUACCACCCUGGACCGCAAAGCGCAACAGGGUGGUGCGGACAGCCCAGUACAUCACUAGGGCUAAGCUCCCUGCCAUCCAGGACCUCUAUAUAAGGUGUGUCAGAGGAAGGACAGAAGAAUUGGCCACCCAAACCAUAGUCUGUUCACUGCUACCAUCCAGCAAAUUGUACCGGAGCAUUGGCUCUCUCCGAGAUCACGUCUAGCCCCAAGCCAUAAGACUGCUAAAUAAGGAAUUUAAUGGUUACACGGACUAUCUGCGCUGACCCUAUCUUGCACUGACUCAAUGCACACUCACAAGACUAGAUAAACACACUACACUGACACCCACACACAUUCACAUACACUACACUACAUACGCACACACACAUACGCCUACCAACAACAAGCAUAAGACACAAGACACACACCUACACUUUAACACGCAAAUGCUUCUGCUACUCUCUUCUUUGUUUCUCUAAUCUAUCCUGAUGCUUAGCUACUUUACCCUGCCUUCUUGUACAUAUCUACCUAAAAUACUUUAUAUAGCUACAGUUGAAGUCGGAAGUUUGCAUACACCUUAGCCAAGUACAUUUCAACUCAGUUUUUCACAAUUCCUGACAUUUAAUCCUAGUAAAAAUUCCCUGUCUUAGGUCAGUUAGGAUCACCACUUUAUUUUAAGAAUGUGAAAUAGUAGAGAGAAUUAUUUCAGCUUUUAUUUCUUUAAUCACAUUCCUAGUGAGUCAGAAGUUUACAUACACUCAAUUAGUAUUUGGUAGCAUUGCCUUUAAAUGGUUUAACUUGGGUCAAACGUUUAGGGUAGCCUUCCACAAGCUUCCCACAAUAAGUUGGGUUAUGUUUUGGCCCAUUCCUCCUGACAGAGCAGGUGUAACUGAUUCAGGUUUGUAGGCCUCCUUGCUCCUUGAGGUCAGGGCUUUGUGAUGGCCACUUCAAUACCUUGACUUUAUUGUCCUUAAGCCAUUUUGCCACAACUUUGGAAGUAUGCUUGGGGUCAUUGUCCAUUUGGAAGACCCAUUUGCGAUCAAGCUUUAACUUCCUGACUGAUGUCUUGAAUAUAUAUAUAUAUAAUAUAUCCACAUAAUUUUUCUACCUCAUGAUGCCAUCUAUUUUGUGAAGCGCACCAGUCCCUCCUGCAGCAAAGCACCCCCACAACAUGAUGCUGCCACCCCCGUGCUUCACGGUUGAGAUGGUGUUCUUCGCCUUGCAAGCCUCCCCCUUUUUCCUCCAAACAUAAUGAUGGUCAUUAUGGCCAAACCGUUCUAUUUUUGUUUCAUCAGCCCAGAGGACAUUUCUCCAAAAAGUACGAUCUUUGUCCCCAUGUGCAGUUGCAAACCAUAGUCGCUUUUUUAAUGGUCGUUUUGGAGCAGUGUCUUCUUCCUUGCUGAGCGGCCUUUCAGGUUAAGUGGAUAUAGGACUCGUUUUACUGUGGAUAUAGAUACUUUUGUACCUGUUUCCUCCAGCAUCUUCACAAGGUCCUUUGCUGUUGUUCUGGGAUUGAUUUGCACUUUUCGCACCAAAGUACGUUCAUCUCUAGGAGACAGAAUGCAUCUCCUUCCAGAGCGGUAUGUUGACUGCGUGGUCUCAUGGUGUUUAUACUUGCGUACUAUUGUUUGUACAGAUGAACGAGGUACCUUCAGGCGUUUUGAAUUGCUCCCAAGGAUGAACCAGACUUGUGGAGGUCUACAUUUUUCUUCUGUGGUCUUGGCUGAUUUCUUUGGAUUUUCCCAUGAUGUCAAGUAAAGAGGCACUGAGUUUGAAGGUAGGCCUUGAAAUACAUCCACAGGUCACCUCCAAUUGACUCAAAUUAUGUCAAUUAGCCUAUCAGAAGCUUCUAAAGCCAUGACAUUUUCUGGAAUUUUCCAAGCUGUUUAAGGCAGUCAAUUUAUGACCGAAUGGAAUUGUGAUACAGUGAAUUAUAAGUGAAAUAAUCUGUUGGUAAACAAUGUUGGAAACAUGACUUGUGUCCUGCACAAAGUAGAUGUCCUAACCGACUUGCCAAAACUAUAGUUUGUUAACAAGAAAUUUGUGGAGUGGUUGAAAAAGUGUGGUUGAAACACUUUGGAGUCAUUAAAACUAGUUUAUGUAAACUUCCGACUUCAACUGUAUAUACAGCUCCUUUCUUGUUAAUUUUAUUCCUUUUGUGUUACUAUUUUUCUUUUUAUCAUUUUUUAACUCUAUUGUAUAGCGUUGUUGGGAACGGCUCGUAAGCAAGCAUUUCACGGUUAAAUCUACACCCGUUGUAUCCUGCGCAUGUGACUAAUAACAUUUUAUUUAUUUUGAAAAGAGAUGUUAUAUUCAGAUAAAGAUUUUAGAAUAUUCUUCACCUAUUUCUCUCUGAUUCAGGACAUGUCUUGGCACAAGUAACAUAUUGGCACCACCACUGGCAGCAGGAUAGCGCUAGCUCCAUAGUCUUUGCUAUCUCAAUGUACUUAGCUAGUUGGUUAGCAAUUAUCAUUAGCGGCUAAUGCUUUUUUUUAGGCACAUGUGAAGCUUGAUAACUAACCAACGGUUUGUGUAGAUAAAGAUACACAAACUUAUAGUAUAAUACAGAACACAGGUGGAUUGAUGUGAAGAAGCUGGAAUAAGCAACAUCCUUGUUUCUUGACUGCAUGGGCUAGAGCUAACAGAAGCAUGCAUUGCAGACUCCGGUUGAGUGAGUGAAUGUAACAGCCAGCUGUGCCUGAUUGAGUGACUGGGCGGGGCAUGGUGUGUAUUGAAAGCAAGUAUCUGCAUACGAGAGGGAGGGAGACUGGAGAGAGAUGACAGAUUAAACUAUAGGGCUUCAAAAAAUUGCAGCCUUUUGCGACAUGGAUAUUGCACAUGCCAACCUCGCAAUUUCGAUUAAAUUUAGAUGAAUUGUGCAGCCCUGCGUGUGUGUGUGUGUGUGUGUGUGUGUGUGUGUGUGUGUGUGUGUGUGUGUGUGUUUAUGAGGGGGGCGGUCCAGGCUGGAGUUAACAGGGCUCUGAGGAGGUUCCUCUCUGGGUUCACCAGGAGUUCAGAGCGAAUACUGUAAACAUGGUGUGUGUGUGUGUGGGAGAGAGGCACAGCUGUAGGAUUGUGACCUGGCCUGUGGGGAGACAUCAAAACAUCACACACCGUUUUACUGCUAGCUCUUUUGUAGCUCUCUCUUGUGCGGUAGUAGUCCCAGGUGUUUUUUAGGUGAGGCUGCUGCCUGCAGUGCCAGAAGGUAAACAGGGAUUAAUCUGUUAGGUAAACGUCUGGCUUGGUUUCAAGUGGUAAACUUCACAUGAGGUACAGCGCAGAGAGCAAUCUGUAACUGUGUUUUUGUGUGUCGGGGUUUCCGUUAACUGGUAGCUGUUUUUUUUUUAUGUUUGUUUUGUUGAGCCAAUAAAUAAAAUUGGCACCGGCCAAUUGUCCGGGGAAAAAAUCCCAUUGCCAUAUAAUGCUUUUUAGUCUACUCAUUGUUGGGAAUACCAGUUGAUGUAAAUACAUUUGACCAGUCCUGCUUAACAGUCUAUGGGUUAAGUUACUUAAUUUUGUGGAAUUAAAUUGCCGCUUGUGUAUAUUCGUUAUGUACAGUGCCUUCAGAAAGUAUUCAUACCUCUUGACUUAUUCCACAUUUUGUUAAAGCCUGAAUUCAAAAUGGAUUAAAUUGUUUUUUUUCUCUCACCCAUUUACACAUACUACCCCAUAAUUACAAUGUGGAAACAAGUUUUUAGAAUUUUUUAAGUUUAUUGAAAAUGAAAUAUGUAAUUUACAUAAAUAUUCAAUACUUUGUACAAUCACCUUUGGCAGCGAUUACAGCUGUGAGUCUUUCAGGGUAAGUCUCUAAGAGCUUUCCACACCUGGAUUGUGUAACAUUUGCCCAUUAUUAUUUUCAAAAUUAUUCAAGCUCUGUGAAAUUGGUUGUUGAUCAUUGCUAGGCAACCAUUUUCAGGUCUUACCAUAGAUUUUGAAGUAGAUUUAAGUCAAAACUAACUCAGCCUCUCAGGAACAUUCACGUCUUCUUGGUAAGCAAUUCCAGUGUAGAUUUGACCUUGUGUUUUAGGUUAUUGUCCUGCUGGAAGGUGAAUUCAUCUCGGUGUCUGGUGGAAAGCCGACUGAACCAGGCUCAGGAGAGGCAAAGGUCGAGUCAUACGUCCUCCGAAACAUGACCCGCCAAACUGUUUCUUCAGUAGCCAGCUGCACGAAUGUGUCGGAGGAAACACCGUUCAACUGACGACAAAAGUCAGCCUGCAGACGCCCGGCCCAUCGAAAGGAAUCGCUAGAGUGCGAUGAGCCAAGCAAUGCCCCCCCCCCCCCCCCCGGCCUAACCCUCCCUAACCCGGACGACGCUGGGCCAAUUGUGCGCCACCCUAUGGGACUCCCGGUCACGUCCGGUUGUGACACAGCCUGGGAUCACACCCGGGUCUGUAAUGACUCCUCAAGCACUGCAAUGCAGUGUCUUUGACCGCUGCGCCACUUAGGAGGCCCCUGUUUCUUAUUUUAUCCUGAAAAAUGCCCCAGUUCUUAACUAUUACAAGCAUACCCAUAACAAGAUGCAGCCAACACUAUGCUUUAAAAUAUGGAGAGUGGUACUCAGUAAUGUGUUCUAUUGGAUUUGACCCAAACUUUGUGUUCAGGACCAAAAGUGAAUUGCUUUGCCACAUUUUUUGCAGCAUUACUUAAGUGCCUGGUUGCAAACAGGAUGCAUGUUUUGGAAUAGUUUUUAUUCUGUAUAGGCUUCCUUUUGUCUCUCUCAAUCUCUCUCAAUUAGGUUAGUAUUGUGGAGUGUUGUUGAUCCAUCCUCAGUUUUCUCCCUACCACAGCCAUUAAACUCAAACUAUUUUAAAGUCACCAUUGGCCUCAUGGUGAAAUCCCUGAGGGGUUUCCUUCCUCUCCGGCAACUGAGUUAUGAAGGACGUCUGUAUCUUUAUAGUGACUGGGUGUAUUGAUACACCAUCCAAAGUGUAAUGAAUAACUUCACCAUGCUCAAAGGGAUAUUCAAUGUCUGCUUCUUUUUUUCCCACUCAUCUACUAAUGGGAGCCCUUCUUUUGGUCUUUGUGAUUGAAUCUGUUUGAAAUUCACUGCUCGACCGAGGGACCUUACAGGUAUUUCUUAUCUGUAAGGUCCCUUUUUUGCACACAGUGAGUCCAUGCAAUUUAUUAUGUGACUUGUUAAGCAAGUGUUUACUCCUGAACUUAUGUAGGCUUUCCAUAAUAAAUGCGUUGAAUACUCAAGA